rnacentral:rRNA from 1 species
AUUUACAACCAUUCCACCCUGAACAUCCCAAUGCUGUCUGAUCUUGGAAGCUAAACAGGGUCUGGCCUGGUUAAUAGUUAGAUGGGAGGUUGCCUGGGAAUACGAGGUACUGUAGGUU